rnacentral:rRNA from 1 species
UGCGGUUAAAACGCUCGUAGUUGGAGUUCUGCCAAAAGUGGCCGGUCUACCCUCCGUGGUGUGCACAGGGCAACCUUCGGCAUCAUCCUGGGAAACUUGUAUGCACUUUACUGUGUGACCUUGGGAUCCAGGACUUUUACUUUGAAGAAAUGAGAGUGUUUCAAGCAGGCGAAUGCCUUGAAUACGUUAGCAUGGAAUAAUAGCAUCGGACCUCUUCCCAACGCCGUUGGUUCAUUGGAGUGAGGUAAUGAUAAACAGGGAUAGCUGGGGGCAUUCGUAUUUAACUGUCAGAGGUGAAAUUCUUGGAUUUGUUAAAGACGAACUACUGCGAAAGCAUCUGCCAAGGAUGUUCUCAUUGAUCAAGAACGAAGGUUAGGGGGUCGAAGACGAUCAGAUACCGUUCCUUAGUCUUUAACCAUAAACUAUGCCGACUAGAGAUUGGGGGUAGUACAUUAUUUUGACCUCCUCCAGCAUC